CCUACGGGAGGCAGCAGUGAGGAAUAUUGGUCAAUGGGCGGGAGCCUGAACCAGCCAAGUCGCGUGAGGGAAGACGGUCCUAUGGAUUGUAAACCUCUUUAGGCGGGGAGCAAUGCCGGGCACGCGUGCCCGGAGGGAGAGUACCCUCAGAAUAAGCCUCGGCUAACUCCGUGCCAGCAGCCGCGGUAAUACGGAGGAUGCGAGCGUUAUCCGGAUUGAUUGGGUUUAAAGGGUGCGUAGGCGGAUUUUUAAGUCAGCGGUAAAAUGUCCGGGCUCAACCCGGGCCGGCCGUUGAAACUGGGGAUCUUGAGUGGGCGAGAAGUAUGCGGAAUGCGUGGUGUAGCGGUGAAAUGCAUAGAUAUCACGCAGAACUCCGAUUGCGAAGGCAGCAUACCGGCGCCCGACUGACGCUGAGGCACGAAAGCGUGGGGAUCGAACAGGAUUAGAUACCCUAGUAGUC
rnacentral:rRNA from 1 species